rnacentral:snoRNA from 12 species
AUUAUUUCCAGGAUGAUUUACGAUUUUACCUUGGGACACCUAUGAAAGACCUGUGAUUAGUGUAAAGUUAUAUUUAGCUGAUAAAA